rnacentral:rRNA from 1 species
UACGUAGGGACCGAGCGUUGUCCGGAAUCAUUGGGCGUAAAGAGCGUGUAGGCGGCCACUUAAGUCCUGCGUGAAAUCUUGCGGCUCAACCGCAAGCGGUCGUGGGAAACUGGGUGGCUAGAGUGCGGGAGAGGAGAGUGGAAUUCCUGGUGUAGCGGUGGAAUGCGUAGAUAUCGGAAGGAACACCAGUGGCGAAAGCGGCUUCCUGGUCCGACACCGACGUUCAGGCACGAAAGCGUGGGGAGCAAACAGG